UACGUAGGUGGCAAGCGUUGUCCGGAAUUAUUGGGCGUAAAGCGCGCGCAGGUGGUUUCUUAAGUCUGAUGUGAAAGCCCACGGCUCAACCGUGGAGGGUCAUUGGAAACUGGGGAACUUGGGUGCAGAAGAGGAAAGUGGAAUUCCAAGUGUAGCGGUGAAAUGCGUAGAGAUUUGGAGGAACACCAGUGGCGAAGGCGACUUUCUGGUCUGUAACUGACACUGAGGCGCGAAAGCGUGGGGAGCGAACAGG
rnacentral:rRNA from 1 species